GUGGGACGCAUUUAACUAAUGAGUUUUGCCGGAACAUUUGGGCCAGUCACUGCAAACAAAGGUUGGAGGUCAUCUGGAAUACUCAGCUGUAAUGCUGGAUGCCUUUCACAGGUGGCACCAUUCAAGUUAAAGCAGCGCAGGCAAGUUUAUAACAUCAGGAAGAGAAACUGCUGCCUGAUCUCUGAGCUACCCAAGUCUUGUGCUCAGGAAGCUGAAAGGAACUACAAAAAUCCCUGCAAAGUGGUCCCUGCUGGCAAAAAGAACCCUCAAGACAAAACCCAAGGCGCUUCUCUAGCUGCAAUUUCACGUACAGAGACGUCUGGGACAGCACUUAUAACUUUGGGCAUUCAGCUGCUGCUAAGGAAUCAUAGAAUACCCCAAGCUGGAAGGACCCGUAAGGAUCAUUGAGUCCAACUCCUGGCUGCAUACAGAACCACCCCAAAAUCAUGUAACUGAUGUUCAAGAGCUUUCAGAAACCCAACUAUGGCCACAUCCACCUUCAGGUGUCUCCAUUCCCUUCACCAGAAUGAUUCCUGAGCCAACUUUUCAGCAACACCUGAGAUAUUUCGGGAUAUAGAUUGUGAGUCCUGAAUCCUGCAAUUGAUACCAAUGGGAAAGCCACCACCAGAGGCCAGAAGCCCAGAGGGCAUCCCUAGGUGCCAACCUUGCUCUUGGGCUUCUC
ensembl:lncRNA